rnacentral:misc_RNA from 1 species
GAAAUGCGAUAAGUAAUGUGAAUUGCAGAAUUCAGUGAAUCAUCGAAUCUUUGAACGCACAUUGCGCCCGCUAGCACUCUGGCGGGCAUGCCUGUUCGAGCGUCAUUUCAACCCUCAGAACCCCUUGCGGGAUCUGGCGUUGGGGAUUGGCAUCCAGCCAGCCCCGAAAUCUAGUGGCGGUCCCUCCGCGACCUCCCCUGUGCAGUAGCGAUACCUCACAGCGGGACAGCGGUCUGACCACGCCGUAAAACCCCCAACUUCUCAAGGUUGACCUCGAAUCAGGUAGGAAUACCCGCUGAACUUAAGC